rnacentral:snRNA from 1 species
AUACUUACCUGGACGGGGUCGAUGGGUUAUCAAGAAGGCCCGUGGCCUAGGUUGGCGACCUCCAUUGCACUGAGGAGGGGUGCCCGCCUAACAUCUCCCCAAAGUGUGAGAGUGUACGUCAUGAUUUGUGUUAGCGGGGGUACGGUAACUUCAAGUUUUUACUCGUC